CUGACCCUGUAGCUCUGGGAGAGGAGCCCAGCCCCAGAAUUCCCAGGUGUUUCUAUUCAGUGAUCAGCACUGAACCCAGAGGACCCACCAUGGAGUUUGGGCUGAGCUGGGUUUUUCUUGUUGCUAUUUUUAAAGGUGUCCAGUGUGAGGUGCAGCUGGUGGAGUCUGGGGGAGGCUUGGUCCAGCCUGGGGGGUCCCUGAGACUCUCCUGUGCGGCCUCUGGAUUUACCUUCAGUGACUACGCCAUGAGCUGGGUCCGCCAGGCUCCGGGGAAGGGUCUGGAGUGGGUCUCAUCCAUUAGUAGUAGUGGUAGUAACACAUACUACGCAGACUCCGUGAAGGGCCGAUUCACCAUCUCCAGAGACAACGCCAAGAACUCGCUGUAUCUGCAGAUGAGCAGCCUGAGAGCCGAGGACACGGCCGUGUAUUACUGUGCGAGAGACACAGUGAGGGGAGGCCCGUGUGAGCCCGGACACAAACC